GAUGAACGCUGGCGGCGUGCCUAAUACAUGCAAGUCGAGCGAACGGACGAGAAGCUUGCUUCUCUGAUGUUAGCGGCGGACGGGUGAGUAACACGUGGAUAACCUACCUAUAAGACUGGGAUAACUUCGGGAAACCGGAGCUAAUACCGGAUAAUAUUUUGAACCGCAUGGUUCAAAAGUGAAAGACGGUCUUGCUGUCACUUAUGGAUGGAUCCGCGCUGCAUUAGCUAGUUGGUAAGGUAACGGCUUACCAAGGCAACGAUGCAUAGCCGACCUGAGAGGGUGAUCGGCCACACUGGAACUGAGACACGGUCCAGACUCCUACGGGAGGCAGCAGUAGGGAAUCUUCCGCAAUGGGCGAAAGCCUGACGGAGCAACGCCGCGUGAGUGAUGAAGGUCUUCGGAUCGUAAAACCCUGUUAUUAGGGAAGAACAUAUGUGUAAGUAACUGUGCACAUCUUGACGGUACCUAAUCAGAAAGCCACGGCUAACUACGUG
rnacentral:rRNA from 1 species